rfam:Ciona savignyi cont_31844, whole genome shotgun sequence.
GCCCGGUUAGCUCAGCCUGUAGAGCGUUGGACUUUUAAUCCAAAGGCCAAGGUUUCAAGUCCCUUAUCGGGCU